GAUUCAUAGUAACUUAACGAAUCGCAUAGCCUUGUGCUGGCGAUGGUUCAUUCAAAUUUCUGCCCUAUCAACUUUCGAUGGUAGGAUAUAGGCCUACCAUGGUUUCAACGGGUAACGGGGAAUUAGGGUUCUAUUCCGGAGAGGGAGCCUGAGAAACGGCUACCACAUCCAAGGAAGGCAGCAGGCGCGCAAAUUACCCAAUCCCGACACGGGGAGGUAGUGACAAUAAAUACUGAUACAGGUGGUUAUAUGCCUCUUGUAAUUGGAAUGAGUACAAUUUAAAUCUCUUAACGAGGAACAAUUGGAGGGCAAGUCUGGUGCCAGCAGCCGCGGUAAUUCCAGCUCCAAUAGCGUAUAUUAAAGUUGUUGCAGUUAAAAAGCUCGUAGUUGAACCUUGGACCUGGCCGACUGGUCUGCCUCACCGCAUGCACUGGUUUGGUUGGGUCUUUCCUUCUGGCUAGCCGCAUGCUCUUCACUGGGUGUGUUGGGGAACCAGGACUUUUAC
rnacentral:rRNA from 1 species